rnacentral:rRNA from 1 species
CAAUAGCGUAUAUUAAAGUUGUUGCAGUUAAAAAGCUCGUAGUUGGAUUUGUGGCUGUCACGGGCGGCCUAUCACUUAGUGUUAGUGCUUGCCUGUGUCGCCAUCCUUGGGUGGAGCCCGUGUGGCAUUAGGUUGUCGUGCGGGGGAUGCCCAUCGUUUACUGUGAGAAAAUUAGAGUGUUCAAAGCAGGCUUAUGCCAUUGAAUAUGUUAGCAUGGAAUAAUAAGAUAGGACCUCGGUACUAUUUUGUUGGUUUGCGCACCGAGGUAAUGAUUAAUAGGGACAGUUGGGGGUAUUCGUAUUUCACUGUCAGAGGUGAAAUUCUUGGAUUUCUGAAAGACGAACUACUGCGAAAGCAUUUACCAAGGAUGUUUUCAUUAA